GACGAACGCUGGCGGCGUGCUUAACACAUGCAAGUCGAACGGAAAGGCCCUGCGUUUGUGGGGUGCUCGAGUGGCGAACGGGUGAGUAACACGUGAGUAACCUGCCCUUGACUUUGGGAUAACUUCAGGAAACUGGGGCUAAUACCGGAUAGGAGCUCCUGCUGCAUGGUGGGGGGUGGAAAGUUUCGGCGGUUGGGGAUGGACUCGCGGCUUAUCAGCUUGUUGGUGGGGUAGUGGCUUACCAAGGCUUUGACGGGUAGCCGGCCUGAGAGGGUGACCGGCCACAUUGGGACUGAGAUACGGCCCAGACUCCUACGGGAGACAGCAGUGGGGAAUAUUGCACAAUGGGCGGAAGCCUGAUGCAGAAACGCCGCGUGCGGGAUGACGGCCUUCGGGUUGUAAACAGCUUUCGCCUGUGACGAAGCGUGAGUGACGGUAAUGGGUAAAGAAGCACCGGCUAACUACGUG
rnacentral:rRNA from 1 species